AAUUUGGGAAUUAUCCAUAUUUUGCACAAUACCUUAUUCCCCGUCUUCCAUUUCUGUGUCCAAAGGUUCCAAAACGUUGCAUUCAAAUUCUUUUUCAUAAUCCACACCCAUAUAAGAAUCGCUAAAGCAGCUCAGUUUAUAUUUUAAAGUUCCCAUUGCCGGGGGCACAAAUUCCAUCUUGGUAGUCAAGGACCUACCUAAGGUAAUCUUCUUAAUUGCCAAGAGGGUUUUGUCAUCCGAAAUUACAAGCCACCAAUGUUCAGUUUUUUGAGCUGGAAAGUAAGGAGCAAUGACAGUCGUAUCAACUUCUUCAUCCUCUUCCAGUUCUCGAGUUAGUUGAACAAUAAGCACAGAGGGUGAAUUAGCGUGAACAUCUUCAGAGUCUUCUAUUUCAAAAUCAAUGUCAAUAUCCGGAUAUUUAUUGAUAAACUCUGCGCAUUUGGCAAGAUGUGCAUUAUCCAUAUGUAACAAUUCAGUACGUUUUUCGUCAUCCAAAUCGAUAAUAUCAAAGACAUCAUGAACACCCUCUUUAUUGCAUCGUUCGAUUAAAGCGUCGUCGAAAUAGGGUAUCUGUUUUAAAGGACUAUCACGAUCCCAUAAAGCUUGCGUAACCAUUUGCGACAUCUCCAUUGGUCUAAUACAAGCUAUUAAAUGGCCUUCGGAAGACAAUGUAUCAACACAAGCGCCCAGAAGAUUAUGUACCCUAGUCAAAAUGAAUUUCUGAUCUAUAACUAAACCAGGAGGCAAUUCAAAUCUAGAAAAAUGAGCUGCAAGAAGAAUAAAUGAUUUCGUAUGAGGAUCUUCAUAGUUAGGAUUACUUAAGCGAACAGGCAGGCGGGAAUGAAUUCGCUCCAGCACAAUAUCUUCAUACUUUCGAAUUGGGAGUUGCUCAUAUUCUGCUGCUGAUGUAACAAUUUCUAGUAAUCCCUUCAUCUUCGUGCGCUCUGACAAGCUCAAAGCAAACGUUUGCAUAGUAAUGUAUGUAAUUCCGUAAUGAGAAGCUAUCAUUGCUAAAUUUAAUGCGACACAACUAUCAUCCUCAUCGUCUACAGUGAUUAAGCGUGCCUCACUCAAAUCAUUCAUGGUUGUUUCUACAAGAUCCGAAAGGAAUUCAGAAACCGACUCAUGAGUGAUAUCUUGAAGACCAUAAUAGGCAGGAUUGGCAACUAGUCUCCGGUACAUAUACGACCAUGUAAGCCAAUCUACAGCAUCUUGUUUGCUUUCAAUGGUUUGCGUAGAUAUUUCUGACACGAAAGCAUCGUGCAGCCAAACUUGAAGAUGGCUUUCCAUGGGUAAUGGCUCAUUUAAAAAUUUCUUGUAAUAUUCCUUCUUAGUAGUGACAGUCAUAAGAAUAACCUGGCUAAGCUCACUUGAUCCAAUGCUAGCAGUAAACCCGAGCAUUUGUAAUAACUCACUUAU